UACAGAGGUCUCAAGCGUUGUUCGGAUUCAUUGGGCGUAAAGAGCUCGUAGGCGGUCUGUCGCGUCUGCUGUGAAAACUCAGGGCUUAACCCUGAGCUUGCAGUGGGUACGGGCAGACUAGAGUGCGGUAGGGGAGACUGGAAUUCCGUGGUGUAGCGGUGAAAUGCGCAGAUAUCAGGAGGAACACCGGUGGCGAAGGCGGGUCUCUGGGCCGAUAACUGACGCUGGAGGAGCGGAAAGCGUGGGGAGCGAAC
rnacentral:rRNA from 1 species